AUUUGAAUGAGGCCUCCGCGAGCACUACUUAAGAAUGUCGAUUUUCGCUUCACACUGACACUCCAAGGCCUCAGUAAAAUACCCUGGAAUCAGUAUAUCAAUUUCUCAUGAAAACCUGAUUUGCAACUUAAGUUACAUGCAGCAAGUCAUCCAAAUCUAUCCUCGUUACAUCUCAAUGCUUUGUUGAAGAUGAUCCUAUAGCGAGACCGGUGGUGCAGUAGCUCCCUCAAACUCAUUAGGCUUCAGAAUUUCAGACAACAACUGAUUCACCAAGUGGCCGAUGGACGUGACUAGUUACCUUAGCAGAUUUGAACAGUUCAUCAAGGACUUCAGACAAUGUUGGAUGUGCGUGCACUGCGAACUUUAUAUCCUGCACGGAUGUUCCCAAUGCUAUGGCGUUGGACGCUUCAUGAAUAAGGUCAGCAGCAUGCAUACCAAAGAUAUGAACUCCAAGAAUUUCCCCAUUGUCCGGUCUGUAUAUUAACUUCGCAAGCCCUUCCCCUUCAUUUUCCGCCAGUGCCUUUGUGUUUGCCUUAAAGCUUGUUUUUGCAAUGCUUAUCUCAAACCCCUCUUUUUCAGCUUUCUCUCGAGCUUGCGGCUCCGUCAACCCAACCAUGCUGAUUUCAG
rnacentral:misc_RNA from 1 species